rnacentral:misc_RNA from 1 species
GAAAACCCCACAAAUUUUGCAUUUGAUCCGUCUGGCCUCAGCUUUACAAGAUACGGGACUUCAAAUUUUCUCUUGGGAAUUAUCUGCCAUACAAUUUUGAUUUUGAGCUUUUUUUUUUUUUUAACUAGUGUUACUAUUUAUAUAACAGCUUAAUAUAAUGAAAUUAGACCUCUAGAAACUUGCAUAUACAAUCUUGACACGAAAAUUCACAUUCUUGAAUGAGGCAAAAUUUCCUACAUUUAUAGAUUGAUCAUAAAUAAACAUUUAAUUUACAAGGCCAACUUUGACAUUCUUCCGAGAUGAAUGGUUACUCCAGAGGACUAGAACUAUCACCUAUGUCAUGGGCGUUAAGAAGGUCUCCAACCAUGUACCCUGUUACGUAUACAAGAGAAAUUUUUUUACCACUGCAUCUCCUGCUGUCAACUGCCGCGAACCUCCAUCUAAGGUCUUUAACAAUAAAACAUUACUCUCUUCACAUUUUCCUUCAAGGCAGGCAAUGGCCGGACUCCAGAUUCUCCUGCUCGUGUCCCCUUGGUACCGUGAACAGAACCACCACCUGUCGAACCAUUUUCCUGCAUUUCUGGCUCCAUGUAAAAUCGUGCGCGAAAAGCAGCCAAAUGUGCAUAAUAUGCCGGAGGAACAACAGAAACAGAACGAGUGCAUCUUGCAUAUGUGUAACAUAGAUUGUUUGUCAAUGACUGGAUUCCAUCAGCAGUAAAGUUGUUUUCAUCCCACAAAACAUGGUAGUGAGCAGGCCGACUUGUCCCCUGUCACAUCAAAAAGAAAAAUUUAUUUCAAUUGGAAAGUACCCGGACGGCCAGACCACAACAGUUGUAUAUAAUUGUAAAAGUAGUAACAUGUAAUACAUGCAAGCUAAAUCCUCCUCAAUUUAUCCCCUCAUUCAUUCUGAAUAAUUCCUUAGCUAAGACCUAAUAACAUAGGGCAGCAUCAGCAUAAGCAAUAAACCAAAUGUUACAAAGAGUUAUAGGCUACUCAAAUCUCAAAUUUUAUAUCCAUUCCUCCAAAAGACUUGCCUAUAUAAGAUUAUAUUGGAGUUGGACAGAGAGAUUAUUCUGUCCAUUGAUCUGAUUUCGGUCUACCAGGACAAGCUAAUUUUUGCCCAUUUCCUCCAUUGGAUUUAUGUUGAUGUGUUGUAAAAUAGCAACUUUAAAUCAAGUUGUUUAAUAGACCCAAGACAGGCAGAGGCUUACCUGAAUACCAGCAUGGCUACACAGAAAAAAAUCAAAUUCAGUAGGGUGACAGAUUUUAGAAUCAACCACAGUGCCAGGUAAUAUGUUCCCACUCUUGUCUGUGCUACUCCUAUCCCUGUGGUUGUUAGCAAAUAAUCGAGUAUGGUGUCGUUUUUGUACAACUAUGAAAGUCACAGGUGGCUGAUAGUUUGGUUCCAAAGAAGCACAAGCCUUCCGGAUUGCAUCCAAUUCAUAAAGUAGAACUUGAUAGAAUUGCCCUUCACUAACACCAUCCCUAAUCAAAUUAAAUGGUAUGAGCAUCACCAUAAGGACUAAAAUGCAAAAUGUCUUACAAUGCAUGUAUGUAAUUCAUAUGUGCACAUAAAGAUACAACACACAAUUUGCAUGCACAAGUGCAUGUGUAAAUACAGUUAUUUGCAGCUAAAAUGACUGAAUAGAGCAGUAAUAGGGUGUUGAGGGUUGACACCACAAGAAAGUUAUAGCCCUGUGCAAGUACUGCGUCAAAAAGGAAAUUUUCUGUGUGCCUGGAGUAUCAACCUGUAAAAUAUAAUCCUUAGCGGCUUCUGUCCUGUUGCCUUCCUAAAGGAAACCAGAAGAUCUCUUCACAGAAGAAAAUAUUUUAUUGAUCAAAUAGUGGCAUUAGAAAAAAUUGAUGGAAAAAAAAAAUAAUUCUGACAAUUCCAGGGAUAUUGAAUUUCCUAUACCUGAUCAUGCCACCACUAACAGUUCCACGAACUGGAUCUUGCCAUGUUUUGUACAAGUCUUGUAUGAGUUCCUGCCUAUGAGCUUGAGCACAAACUAAUCCAGCAUAUUUUGUUACUUCAGGCCAGUCCUGAGAAGCUACUACAGCUGCAAUUGAGGGGCUUGAGUCCUCCCCAUUCUCUGGGUGAGUUACAUCUGCUCCAAAUAUAAUGGUUGGUGUGUCACUGACUAAUGGUAUUCGGCAGCUAAUGGCGUCUAAAAGGACAGUGUUUCUACCACCCAUCUGCAUCAAGUAUGUGGGGAAAAUUCAAUAAUAUUUAGGGGAUGCAAGCCAAAGGAAAACAAAUAAAAAUUAUUCAGAAAAACGUGGUCAUUCUAGCAACUUCAUGAAGUACUUUGUAGAAGUAUAUAUCCAUACCAGAUAAACAUCUUAUACUCAACUUCUUCAAACAUUUGUGAAAAAUAUUACCUCAUAUCAAGAGAGUUAAUCUAACCUUAACAUUAAUCUUAAGUGACACAUUAGCCAAAUACUGCUUGCUGAUUUUGUAGACAUGUUUUGUAAGACAGCAUUGUGAUAUUAAACCAAGAUCAGUUUCACAUAUCCGCUUAAGAUCCCCAUACAGGGAUCCAUUGUUGUCAGGUAGAAUAGCUAACAGAAGCUCCAGUUCUUUUCCUUUGGUUUUGCUCAUGGAAGCAUGAUAAACAUGCUUCAAAGCUUUCUCUACUUGAUCAGGCCUGGCAUUGUAGAUUGGAAUAACAGGCUCUGGAUUGAAUUCCAUGCCAGAUACUUGGCACAUCUGAGCAAGUUCAUUGCAAAAUCCACGAGCAACACUUUCUUGAACACUCCUUGAAAAGUUAAUACAUGACCAUCGGCUUACAGUCAUUCCAUUAAUCAUUUUCUUAUUCAUCAUGUUCCAUUGGCCAACUUGUGGCAAACAGUCCUUUUCCUUUCCAGUUUCAUGAUAUUUCAGCCAAGGUGCAGGGAGAAUUCGAGCCUCAACAGAAGCUAGCUUUUCACUGAUUUUGACCCCAAACUCCUUUGCGUAAGGAUCUUGAUCAUAAGCAUUAUGCUGAACUGUCUGCAAAAUGUCAUUUUCCCGAUCCCUUGGCCUUUGGCACGUAACUUUCAAUAGGGCAGUAAUUUGCCUCUCAUUCAACCUUUUUGUAUAUCGUUGCCCCUCUACAAUUUUGCAAGCCUCCAUAGGUAGAUAGUUUGCCUUCUUCUGGUUUCCUACUUGAAGGCAAGGUAGAUGCGUAUGUUGAAUGGUGAAGCCAUACAUCUCUUGGAAGUAUUCAACUACUGACUUCAUAGUCGAGUUAUCAUCAACAGGAAAUACAAGUUCUCUUGUAGGUUGAGAUGUCAAUCCUGAGACACGAUAUUUUCUCCGUGCAUUUCCUCUAUGAGUUACUUCAACUUUUACUCCUCUGAGGGCCUUCUUAAUCUUAACUCUAUCAGAAUCAGACAAUGGCCUUGAUAACACAUCCUUGCCUAGAAGCUGGGCAACAUACUCAAUUACUGGGAGAGGCUCAAUGAAUGCAGCCGAAGCCAUAUCAAUAUUCAAGGAGAGGCCCAUUUGGGUAGGCCUUAUACUCUGGUAAAACCCACACCAGGACUCCAAGCCGUCACCAAGUCGUUGUGCUGCUCUAAUAUCCGGUGAAAAGAAGGAUCUUCCAAUGGGGCAGUACCUCUUUGUUGAGAGCUCCCUCAGUACAAUAUCAAGAAUUUUUAACGCUUCCUGUGGAGCAUCAGCACGUUUACCAGCUAAAAAAUGACCCAAAUGGUGCAUAUUGGCCCUUGCUACGAACUUGACCACCACUUUGUACUCUCUUUCUCUCUUGGGACCAUUGAUUCCAUCGUCUUCAUCAACAAGCUUAAUCGUGAACUCCUUCCAAGCAAAGGGAAGUUCACCAGCAGUGUACAGACUCUUUCUGCCAUCGUAAGCAGGAAGUCUCAUUCCCAAGUCAGAUUCUUUGUAAAGCCUCACAAGCUCCGCCAUGAUAGCUCUGUUUGUAGUUCUUGAUGCCACUUCAGGAGUUAUGGUAACAUCAUACUGGUUCAAGUCCUUGCCUGGUAACUCUGCAAAGAAGUGGUUGGCUUUAACAAUGCACUUUGUCCCCAGUUGACCAUAACCAGGCCUAGGAGCAAAACUCAAUGACUUGCUAGAAGUAGGGAAACCCAAACCCAUCUCCAUUUCACAAACAUUUCCAGCAUUUCCAACAGACCCAUUUGGAGCACUUGCCAAGAGAUUACCUGCUGGAUUCACAGGCUUAUGUGCCACAGUACAAGGCCUUGAACUGGGUCUCGUACAGACAUCUCCUUGAUCAGACUUUCUACCACCUCUACCUCUUCUUCUUCCUCUGUUUUUUGUUGGAGGUGAGGUCUGGCUCUGGGGUUUGCUGUUGUGGGUUUCCUGAGAUGGCGGUCCCUUGCCAUUUUGAGCAGUUUUGUGGUGUUUUUGAGGUUGGUUCAUUGUGUUCUGCAAGUGGGUUUUCAUCACCAAGUGCUGCUCUGAGCUCUCUUUCAUCUGCCUUAUAGGCAUUGCUGAUUUUAUUUUCUCUCCUCUCCUUUUGCUCCUUGCUCGCUGAAGCUUACACGCAACGCACAAAAAGCUGGUGUUCAAAACAGUAAAGAUUCACCAAAUGGCAGAAAUAUACUCUCUCUUCUAUCCUUUCCACAUUUGCCUCACAGAUUUGGGAUUUUAGACCAUUUUCUUCGCUGGGAGAAAAAAUAAAACUAAAUAAAUAAACGCAGAAGGAAAAUGCAUGUCAGCCGAGUUACCAAACUUCAUAGAAACUGUAAGGAAAUAAGAAUAAUAAUGAAUGAUAGUGCAUCAUAGUUGUUGACACGAAGUAAAAGGGUAUGGGAGAUUGCCUAGGCCUUUGUUGCGCAUUACAAGCCUUACAAUUCCUUUGAAAAUUUGGGAACCCAAAUAACAAAUUAAAAAUACAUGUCUGACUGGUGAUAUUGCAGAACCGCUAAAUGGAGAAGGAGAGACAUAAAUACAAGUAAUGUACAAACGUUGCAGGCAAGUUUUAAUAUUGUAUAUUUUAUUUUUGGAGAAAAUUGGAAUUAAAUAAUUCCUAGCCUUGAAUCUAUGCUCAAAUUCUAAAAGAACGAAGAAAUAAGAAAAUGAAAACUCGAAGUCCAAAACGAGACAAACAGCACUGCAACUCCAGAAAUAAUAAAGUGCAAAGACAAAACUCAACAUCACCACUCAAAACCCAAAAUCCUUCUUUAGAUGGUUCUACUUAGCAAGCAAUGACCAUGAAUCAUACAGACAAAAACAAACAAAAUAAAGCAACAAAAUGAAAAUUAGAAAAAAAAAAUGCUAGUAGAAACCCAAGAAAAAGAAAUAACCAGUUGACGAAACCAUAUCCUUAAAAUCUGUCCCUACCCACAACUGAAAAUCUGCAAGGGGAAAAAAAUCACAAUGAAGAUGAAUACACCCAAGCAGAUAAAAACACAGGAUGUGCAUUAAAAAAAUAAAAAAAAAUUUUUUUUUUCUAGAGAGUUUUGAAACCACAAGACUGCACGUAGAAGAAAACAAAAGGCAACAAGAAGAAGGUAUAUGCAAAGAGAAGGAAUAAACCUUGAAAAGGGUAGUGAAAUCACUAUCCCAAGGAUACCCAAAAAUUUAUUGCCUGGAUAGAAAUUACCCAACAAUAAAUACCAAGUCCACAACCACAACUCGCAACACUAAACAACUCCUCACUCGCUCAGUAAACCAUGAAAUGGAAGAAAUCCUAGAGCUUGCAAGAAAGAGAAACACACUCACACACUGAGGUUUUAGAGAUGGGGUGGCAAAGAACGUGAUUGGAUUAAAAGAGAAGCAAAAGAAGUGGAGAUAGAGUUGGUAUUUUUUUAAAACAAAAUAAAUAAAAAUUCAAGAAUUCAGUUUUCACAGAGACUACAUAAAAGAAAAUAAAAGAAAAGAGAACAUAGAAGAGAGAGAUGAUGAUGAUGAUGAAGAUGAAUCUUUAUACACGCAUGCAAGUGCUUUUGGUGUUUUCUUUAUCACGUGUAAAAGGCUUGUGAGGCCCCUGCCCGCCUCCUCCCCUCCUUCCCCUCCUCUACUUUUAUAAAUUAGCCUCUAUCUCUGUCUCUAUCUCUCUCUCUCUCUCUCCUCACCUCACACAAGAAAAGAAAAGGUUGUUGAUCCUCUCCCAAAGCACACUGAAAAAAGCAAGCAAAAGC